CAAUAGCGUAUAUUAAAGUUGUUGCAGUUAAAAAGCUCGUAGUUGGAUUUCGGGGCAGCCUGGCUGGUCCGCCGCAAGGCGAGUACUGGUCAGCCGCCCUUCCUCUCGAAAGCCCCGACUGCUCUUUAUUGCAGUGGUCGGGUAGUUCGGGACGUUUACUUUGAAAAAAUUAGAGUGUUCAAGGCAGGCCUACGCCUGAAUACAUUAGCAUGGAAUGAUGGAAGAGGACCUCGGUCCUAUUUUGUUGGUUUCCAGGACCGAAGUAAUGAUUAAGAGGGACAGUUGGGGGCAUUCGUAUUUAAUUGUCAGAGGUGAAAUUCUCGGAUUUAUGAAAGACGAACAACUGCGAAAGCAUUUGCCAAGGAUGUUUUCAUUAA
rnacentral:rRNA from 1 species